GUGAGGAAUUUUCCGCAAUGGGCGAAAGCCUGACGGAGCAAUGCCGCGUGAAGGAUGAAGGCCUAUGGGUUGUAAACUUCUUUUCUUAGAGAAGAAUAUUGACGGUAUCUGAGGAAUAAGCAUCGGCUAACUCCGUGCCAGCAGCCGCGGUAAUACGGAGGGGGCUAGCGUUGUUCGGAAUUACUGGGCGUAAAGCGCGCGUAGGCGGACCAGAAAGUUGGAGGUGAAAUCCCAGGGCUCAACCUUGGAACUGCCUUCAAAACUCCUGGUCUGGAGUUCGAGAGAGGUGAGUGGAAUUCCGAGUGUAGAGGUGAAAUUCGUAGAUAUUCGGAGGAACACCAGUGGCGAAGGCGGCUCACUGGCUCGAUACUGACGCUGAGGUGCGAAAGCGUGGGGAGCAAACAGGAUUAGAUACCCGAGUAGUCC
rnacentral:rRNA from 1 species